CUUGGGCAGCAUCCAACUUGUACAUCACACCACCAUCCACGGUGACACGGAGGAGCUGAGGAGCAUGGCCCGCAGUCGCGACGUCCCCCGGCCGCUCUCCACCCUCCCCAUGUUCAACGUGCGCACGGGGCAGCGCACCAACCCCAUGGUGGGACCCCCCGAUGGGGCUCGGGACCCCCUGAUCCCACAGCAGCGGUAACAGGCAGCGUGGCUGUGCCCCCCCCUCCCCUCCCAGGAUGAGCUUGCUGCGAGCUCCUUUCUGCGAGCUGGUUGGGGUGGGGGGGGAUUUUGCUGGUAAAAUUUGGCUGUUUGCAAUGA